rnacentral:misc_RNA from 1 species
AACGCACAUUGCGCUUUCUGGUAUUCCGGGAAGCAUGCCCGUUUCAGAAUCAGCAUAAUUCUCAUCACUGCCCCUUUGGUGGCUGGUUGUCCUUUUGCUGGAUAGACAGUCCCAGAGGAGCAUGAUGGAUGUGGAUGACUUGCCAGUCCCUCUGGGGGGGCAGGCAACCAUCUGAAAAGAAUUGCGUGCACUCUUAAGGUUUCCCUCCAGGACAGUGCUCCCAAGUGCAACAGAAUAGUGCUUUUGUGGUCACUUCUGAUGCACUGUCCGCCGUGAGGACCUGGGAGGGUAUGGACCAGAAGCUGGGGGGCUGGAUGGCCACCGCCGCUGCUGCAAUCAAUCUUUUGGUCUGAAAUCGGGCAAGAAAACCCGCUGAACUUAA